GACGGACGCUGGCGGCGUGCUUAACACAUGCAAGUCGAACGGAAAGGCCCCAGCUUGCUGGGGUACUCGAGUGGCGAACGGGUGAGUAACACGUGGGUGAUCUGCCCUUCACUCUGGGAUAAGCCUGGGAAACUGGGGCUAAUACCGGAUAGGACCGUGCUAUCGUGUGUGCGGUGGAAAGAUUUGCGGUGCAGGAUGAGCCCGCGGCCUAUCAGCUUGUUGGUGGGGUAAUGGCUUACCAAGGCGGCGACGGGUAGCCGGCCUGAGAGGGUGUACGGCCACAUUGGGACUGAGACACGGACCAGACUCCUACGGGAGGCAGCAGUGGGGAAUAUGGCACAAUGGGCGCAAGUCUGAUGCAGCGACGCCGCGUGGGGGAUGACGGCCUUCGGGUUGUAAACCCAUUUCGGCAGGGACGAAGCUUUUGUGACGGUACCUGAAUAAGAAGCCCCGGCUAACUACGUG
rnacentral:rRNA from 1 species